UACGGAGGGUGCAAACGUUGCUCGGAAUCAUUGGGCGUAAAGCGCACGUAGGCGGCUUCUUAAGUCGGGUGUGAAAGCCCUCGGCUCAACCGAGGAAGUGCAUUCGAAACUGAGGGGCUUGAAUACUGGAGAGGAUGGCGGAAUUCCCGGUGUAGAGGUGAAAUUCGUAGAUAUCGGGAGGAACACCAGCGGCGAAGGCGGCCAUCUGGACAGAUAUUGACGCUGAGGUGCGAAAGCGUGGGGAGCAAACAGG
rnacentral:rRNA from 1 species